rnacentral:rRNA from 1 species
AGAGUUUGAUCCUGGCUCAGGACGAACGCUGGCGGCGUGCCUAAUACAUGCAAGUUGAGCGCUGAAGGUUGGUACUUGUACCGACUGGAUGAGCAGCGAACGGGUGAGUAACGCGUGGGGAAUCUGCCUUUGAGCGGGGGACAACAUUUGGAAACGAAUGCUAAUACCGCAUAAAAACUUUAAACACAAGUUUUAAGUUUGAAAGAUGCAAUUGCAUCACUCAAAGAUGAUCCCGCGUUGUAUUAGCUAGUUGGUGAGGUAAAGGCUCACCAAGGCGAUAAUACAUAGCCGACCUGAGAGGGUGAUCGGCCACAUUGGGACUGAGACACGGCCCAAACUCCUACGGGAGGCAGCAGUAGGGAAUCUUCGGCAAUGGACGAAAGUCUGACCGAGCAACGCCGCGUGAGUGAAGAAGGUUUUCGGAUCGUAAAACUCUGUUGUUAGAGAAGAAUGUUGAUUAGAGUGGAAAAUUAAUCAAGUGACGGUAUCUAACCAGAAAGGGACGGCUAACUACGUGCCAGCAGCCGCGGUAAUACGUAGGUCCCGAGCGUUGUCCGGAUUUAUUGGGCGUAAAGCGAGCGCAGGUGGUUUAAUAAGUCUGAUGUAAAAGGCAGUGGCUCAACCAUUGUGUGCAUUGGGAACUGUUAGACUUGAGUGCAGUAGAGGAGAGUGGAAUUCCAUGUGUAGCGGUGAAAUGCGUAGAUAUAUGGAGGAACACCUGUGGCGAAAGCGGCUCUCUGGACUGUCACUGACACUGAGGCUCGAAAGCGUGGGUAGCAAACAGGAUUAGAUACCCUGGUAGUCCACGCCGUAAACGAUGAGUGCUAGUUGUUUGGGGCUAUCCAGCCCUAAGUGACGCAGCAAACGCAUUAAGCACUCCGCCUGGGGAGUACGACCGCAAGGUUGAAACUCAAAGGAAUUGACGG